GUGGAUUAGAUACCCUGGUAGUCCACGCCCUAAACGAUGUCAACUAGUUGUCGGGUCUUCAUUGACUUGGUAACGUAGCUAACGCGUGAAGUUGACCGCCUGGGGAGUACGGUCGCAAGAUUAAAACUCAAAGGAAUUGACGGGGACCCGCACAAGCGGUGGAUGAUGUGGAUUAAUUCGAUGCAACGCGAAAAACCUUACCUACCCUUGACAUGUACGGAACCUUGCUGAGAGGUGAGGGUGCCCGAAAGGGAGCCGUAACACAGGUGCUGCACGGUUGUCGCCAACU
rnacentral:rRNA from 1 species